rnacentral:rRNA from 1 species
GCUCAGUAACACGUGGAUAAUCUACCCUUAGGACCGGGAUAACCCUGGGAAACUGGGGAUAAUACUGGAUAGGCAAUUAUUCCUGUAAUGGUUUUUUGUUUAAAUGUUUUUUCGCCUAAGGAUGAGUCUGCGGCCGAUUAGGUAGUUGGUUAGGUAAUGGCUUACCAAGCCGUUGAUCGGUACGGGUUGUGAGAGCAAGAGCCCGGAGAUGGAACCUGAGACAAGGUUCCAGGCCCUACGGGGUGCAGCAGGCGCGAAACCUCCGCAAUGUGAGAAAUCGCGACGGGGGGAUCCCAAGUGCCAUUCUUAACGGGAUGGCUUUUCUUAAGUGUAAAGAGCUUUUGGAAUAAGAGCUGGGCAAGACCGGUGCCAGCCGCCGCGGUAACACCGGCAGCUCUAGUGGUAGCUGUUUUUAUUGGGCCUAAAGCGUUCGUAGCCGGUUUAAUAAGUCUCUGGUGAAAUCUUACAGCUUAACUGUGGGAAUUGCUGGAGAUACUAUUAGACUUGAGACCGGGAGAGGUUAGAGGUACUCCCAGGGUAGAGGUGAAAUUCUGUAAUCCUGGGAGGACCGCCUGUUGCGAAGGCGUCUAACUGGAACGGUUCUGACGGUGAGGGACGAAAGUUAGGGGCGCGAACCGGAUUAGAUACCCGGGUAGUCCUAACUGUAAACGAUGCGGACUUGGUGUUGGGGUGGCUUUGAGCCGCUCCGGUGCCGAAGGGAAGCUGUUAAGUCCGCCGCCUGGGAAGUACGGUCGCAAGACUGAAACUUAAAGGAAUUGGCGGGGGAGCAC